GGGCUCACUUUGGCAGCACAUAUCCUAAAAUUGGAACGAUACAGAAAAGAUUAGCAUGGCCCUGAAGGAUGACAUACAAAUUCAUAAAGUGUUCCAUAUUUUU